UCCAUCGUGGCGGAGUGGUAACGUUUGCGACUUUGAUUCGUCAAGUCAAGGGUUCGAGGCUCGCCUCGGUUUGAAG